AAACAAUUAUAUUAAUUUAUUUCUAUGGAGUUUUGAAUGUUAUGUUGUUUGUUUUUACACCACGAUAAUAUUUUGUAUGUUGAUGCACUUGUAACGCUUUUUAUUUAAGAAAACAGUCCAUCAUAUAAGGGGUGUUACACCACUGUUUUCAACCAUCUAGAGUAGACUGUUUUAACCAUCUAGAGUAGACUGUUUCAACCAUCUAGAGUAGACUGUUUUAACCAUCUAGAGUAGACUGUUUUAACCAUCUAGAGUAGACUGUUUUCAACCAUCUAGAGUAGACUGUUUUAACCAUCUAGAGUAGACUGUUUCAACCAUCUAGAGUAGACUGUUUUAACCAUCUAGAGUAGACUGUUUUAACCAUCUAGAGUAGACUGUUUCAACCAUCUAGAGUAGACUGUUUUAACCAUCUAGAGUAGACUGUUUUAACCAUCUAGAGUAGACUGUUUUCAACCAUCUAGAGUAGACUGUUUUCAACCAUCUAGAGUAGACUGUUUUAACCAUCUAGAGUAGACUAGUUUCAACCAUCUAGAGUAGACUGUUUCAACCAUCUAUUGUAGACUGUUUAAACCAUCUAGAGUAGACUGUUUUCAACCAUCUAGAGUAGACUGUUUUCAACCAUCUAGAGUAGACUGUUUCAACCAUCUAGAGUAGACUGUUUCAACCAUCUAGAGUAGACUGUUUUCAACCAUCUAGAGUAGACUGUUUUCAACCAUCUCGACUCAGACACUUCCUAGUACAUCGUUCAUGUUAUACCACCACCUAGAGAAUAGACGUUAGCUCUGUGUCCAUCUCCUCCAUUAUGGGCGUUUUAACCCAAAAGACAAUGAGAGAGGGAGGGAAGUAAACCCAAGAGCAAAGCACAGAAUGAAGAAACAGAGGCAGUAUGUGUACUGUAGUCAGCACCAAGGCUACGUCGCUAGCUAGCUAGCUGUAAUCCCAGGGGCUGUUUGCUGUUGGUGAUGGUUCGUGUUAGCGAUGAGGCAGGGGUGUACAGAGAUGUAAUGGGUUGAGGGAGAUAGCCAUGUCUCCAAAAACCUAAGGUGAGUGUUCUGAAAGCUUUAUGGCUAACGUGGUACUUCAUUUCUCUCGACAACCCAGACUCAAGCCAUAUGUAGAACAUCAAACAUUGAUUUUGCAAUUGGUGCUCUCAUGGUUCAGUUGUCAAGAUAGACAAAGUGCCACGUUAGCCAUGAAGGUUCUGGGAAACUCUGAGUUCUGAGGUGUGUGGCAGGAAGUGAGAAAGGCUAAGGACAGCAGGUGAGGCAGGCUAAGAACAGGUGGUGUCUAGAUGCCUUAAGACGGUGUUUCAAAAGGGGUGUGUAUCAGUUUUAUGGUGUGACGUGACUGAAGAGGUUUUUAGUCGAUCAGACAGACAGUUGGUUUGGGUCGAGACGGGGCUGGUGUGAGAAUGAAAACCACUGACUAAAGGGUUACUGACUCAGUCUUUGGUCGGAUGACAGAACUCACCUCCUUGACGUAGACUCAAACCAACAUGUCUGAACAUCAUCAAGCCAACCAACAUUCGCACACAACCUCUCUCUCUAGGAGAGGUCCACCUCUCUCUCUAGGAGAGGUCUAUCUCUCUCUCUAAGAGAGGUCCAUCUCUCUCUCUAGGAGAGAUCCACCUCUCUCUCUAGGAGAGGUCCAUCUCUCUCUCUAGGAGAGAUCCACCUCUCUCUCUAGGAGAGGUCCAUCUCUCUCCAGGAGAGGUCCACCUCUCUCUCUAGGAGAGGUCCAUCUCUCUCUCUAGGAGAGGUCCAUCUCUCUCUCUAGGAAAAGUCCAUCAACUAAUAUUUGUUUUCUUUAACCAUAUGUGUAGAGCUGUGUUCAGAGGAGAGGAGUGACGGAAAGGAAAAUAAAGAUGAAUUUACUACUCUGUGAUUUGUGAUUUCUGUCUGUGUGUCUGUGUCCUGAUGGGGCCAGAUUACCACGAGGGAGAGAGAGAGAGAGUAGAGAGGGAACAAAAGAAAGAGAGAGAACGAAAGAGACAGAGAGAGAGAGAGAGACUGAAAGAACUGUUCAAGGAGUUUAAACAGAAGCCUUCUUUCUGUACAUGUGCGAGUGCUUGUGCGUUCCAAUGCACAGCUCUCCUUGAAAAAAAAAAAAAAAACGAUACACAUACAAUAGGUGAAAUGACUCCUAAAAUACGACAGCUUUAGACACACUCUCUAUGAUAGAAUAUAACAUAUGUCUAACCGGGGCUGUAAGGUUCAAAUUAAGCCAUGACUCCUGGCUGAACUUGUGCUCCAGUGAACCUGCCAACUACUGCACAGAAUAG
rnacentral:lncRNA from 1 species